GACGAACGCUGGCGGCAGGCUUAACACAUGCAAGUCGAACGCCCCGCAAGGGGAGUGGCGCACGGGUGAGUAACGCGUGGGAAUAUGCCCUUCGGUUCGGAAUAACACAGGGAAACUUGUGCUAAUACCGGAUACGAUCUACGGAUGAAAGAUUUAUCGCCGAGGGAGUAGCCCGCGUAGGAUUAGCUAGUUGGUGAGGUAAUGGCUCACCAAGGCGACGACCCUUAGCUGGUCUGAGAGGAUGAUCAGCCACACUGGGACUGAGACACGGCCCAGACUCCUACGGGAGGCAGCAGUGGGGAAUAUUGGACAAUGGGGGAAACCCUGAUCCAGCCAUGCCGCGUGAGUGAUGAAGGCCUUAGGGUUGUAAAGCUCUUUCGCCAGGGAAGAUAAUGACGGUACCUGGAAAAGAAGCCUCGGCUAACUCCGUGCCAGCAGCCGCCGCGGUAA
rnacentral:rRNA from 1 species